AGAUGAGAGAGCACAGCUGAAAACAAGGCAGAAGAGUCACAAACGAGGAUAACGCAGUAGGGAAGUCCACAGCUGGGAGAGGGAGGGGGUGUGUGUGAAGAGAAGAUAGCUUUUAUUUGAAACAUAUGUGUGCUGGUUAAUCAUGGCUGGAACCUGGGAUCGGGUGAGACUAUAGUGGAGAGGAGGUGGCAGACACAGGGAAAUUAUUUUUUAUUUCAAACAGAUGUAUUAACAAUGGUCUUAUGCUGAUGAAACUCAAUAAAGAAGAGAUUUAAAGAGGGGUAUACUGUGAUGGGAAUUUGUAGCUGGGAGGCAGAAGGGAAAAUGAUCAUUUACAAUCGACAUAUGUAAUCACUGUGUGCACUCAGUACUGAGACAAGGGUGGGACUGCAGCUGCCAGAGCAAGUGGAAAGGAAAAGCCCAGCCAUUGCUGCAGCAAAGCAUGGGAAGAAGCGCUAGGUUGGUCCAGCAGGAAGGGAGGAGGAAAUAUGCAGUAGAGGACGUACAUGUACAUUUUAAUUUGUGACUUCUAACAAAAUUAAAUUGUAUACCACACUAAAGAAGCAUUCUGCUCAGCCUCGACUGUCUGGAGGAGGAUGGUGAUGAGCAUACAGGAUCCAGGACCGCUGACUUCAGAAGAGGACAUCUGUCAUGCCUUGCACUAUAUCCACACCUGCCCUACGGGUCUGCUGUGCAGUCCAGUUUUACACUAUCAAUGAUGGACUUGUUCACAUUGGUCAGGACACUGGGGACAUUGCAUUGUCGGUAAGUCCACGACUGACCCAAUGAUUCACUUUUGUGUUGAUGUUAGCAUGAGGUUGCCACUGUUGCACUGGCAAGACAGUUCUGCUAACCAGAAAAGGGAGUAAGACAGGAGCUG
rnacentral:lncRNA from 1 species